UCCGUAGGCAGCGAGCGUUGUUCGGAGUUACUGGGCGUAAAGGGUGUGUAGGCGGUUGUUUAAGUUUGGUGUGAAAUCUCCCGGCUCAACUGGGAGGGUGCGCCGAAUACUGAAUGACUUCGAGUGCGGGAGAGGAGAGUGGAAUUCCUGGUGUAGCGGUGAAAUGCGUAGAUAUCAGGAGGAACACCGGUGGUGUAGACGGCUCUCUGGACCGUAACUGACGCUGAGGCACGAAAGCUGGGGGAGCAAACAGG
rnacentral:rRNA from 1 species